CCCCCAUCUCCCGCCCCUUUCCUAACACCUUUCUAUUUCAAUCUGGUUACACAAUCUCCACCCCUGGCCCUAAGGGUGAAACACAUGAUAUAGGCUAAGCCCAUCGACAUAUUUCCUCCCAUUGUGCACAGUGAUUGGUUGGGGUAGGGAUAUGCCCUAGGCUGACCCAAUCAGAAUUCAUCUUGAGACUUUAGUCAGGAUGCCGGGAAUGGGAGGCAGAUUCCUUAUUCCUUGCUAUAUGUGAAUCACAUAGCUUUAGGAGUUGCUGCAGCCAUCUUGGGAUUAUAGACAAAUGUGAUGACAAAAGAGCUUGUCAUGGAACCAGAGCUGAGAAAUAAAGAGAAAAAAGUGCUUGAUCUUGUCACAUGCUUUGAGCUGCCUGGAACAAAUCUUCCUGAAGCCAUCCUACGUGUGAACUUCACAGGUGAUAAUAGUUAAGCCUAGAGCCAUGAGAGGCCUGUGCUCCGUGGGACAGGAGGCUAAGAGCGGAACAGGGCCCACUGUUGGAUGCUACUGAUCACCAGACUGUGGCCUUUAUACACAUCAACUUGCUUCAUCUCCACCAGAACAAAUGAAUGACAAAACCCGAUGAAAGACAAAGCCAGAGUAAAUCCCUUCUCAUCUAUGUCACGGCAAAAGAUAUAGUAACAGCAAAAACAAGCUCUAAAAACCUUGUUUGUAAAAGGUUUGGUAAAACUGUUUCUUUAAAGAUAUUCCAUCAUUUGGACUUUAAUUUUGCUAGGCUCUCCCUACCCCACCAAAUUGUUAUUUCAUAUAAAAUAAUUGGACGAGGCCGGGCGCAGUGGCUCACGCCUGUAAUCCCAGCACUUUGGGAGGCUGAGGCAGGCGGAUCACCUGAGGUCAGGAGUUCGAGACCAGCCUGACCACCAUGGAGAAACCCCACCUCUACUAAAAAUACAAAAUUAGUCGGGCCUGGUGACACACUUGUAAUCCCAGCUACUCGGGAGGCUGAGGCAGGAGAAUUGCUUGAACCGGGGAGGUGGAGGUUUCGGAGAGCCGAGAUCGCUCCAUUGCCCUCCAGCCUGGGUAACAAGAGCGAAACUCCUUCUCAGAUAAAUAAAUAAUUGGACAAAAUUAUCUCACCUUUGUUCAAUUGGCUUUCUGUUCUACCUUAAAAAAUAGAAAUUAAUUAAUUAAUUGUGAUAAAAAUAGCUGCAUAUUAUUGAGCCUUUUUUGUAUUGGUCAAUAGCCUGAAAUGUCCAUAUGUGAUACAGCUGAAGCCUAAUAGGAAAACAAUUACUAACAUUUCGGAGUUGGAACAGACCUGCUGGUCGUGACUCCAGUAUUUGUACAUCAUGAUGAGGAAAUUGUGGCCAGAGAUAUUAGGACUUGUCCAAGUCUCCAAACUGAGACUCAAGGGCCAUAUUCCAUUUUCCUCGGCUCAUGGCUUUCCACUGAACUUCAAAAGAGGCUCCAGUACCAGUCCUAAGAAUCAUCAGUGGCCUUAGAAUAGUCUGGAGGAAUUACUUCAGACUGUUCCUCUGAACUGGGACACAGCAAAUGGAAUAAAAUACUGGCUCCUAGGACAAACAGAGAAAGUAGCUCUCAAUCACAGCCCUCUUUCAAAAACCUUUAGUUUAAAAACUAAAGAAAUAGAUACAUGAAGUAGCCAAAGAACCAUAAGCUUUUAAAAACUUAGAAGCCAUUUCUUUAUUUCAAAAAAUUUUUCAGACAGUUCUCAAGCAUAAUCACAUCUCAGAGGUUGUAGACAUUGCACCUGGUACCCAUCUCAACAUCAUUAAUCUCUUUACCGGAUAUAUACAUAUAUAUAUAUAUAUAUAUACACACACACACACACACAUAUACACACAUAUACAUAUACAUAUAUAUACACACACACACAUAUAUACAUAUACAUAUACAUAUACAUAUACAUAUAACAUUUUAGUGGAUGCGACUAACAGCACCAUGGCUACUCUGCCACACAAGGUUUAUUCUUUUUCAAGUAUGGAAGAGAAUAUCAAGUGACUGAUUACCAAGCUGUAGAAGCCAAUAUCCUUUUCAAAAAACAAGAUUGCUCUCUUGCCAUACUCAAAGGCUUGACUUUCAGAGAAUGGUGUAUCAUCCAUUGGUGGUUAAAAAUUGUGACAGAACCUUUCAGUCAGUCACAAAAAAAUUUCCAAAGGGAUGUCCCAUACAUUUUGCUACUGUUGCCCAGGCUGGAGUGCAGUGGCGCAAUCACAGCUCACUGAAGCCUUGGACCAUGUGGGCUCAGCUGAUCCUCCCUCUUCAGCCUCCCAUGUAGCUGGGACUACAGGCAGGUGCACGCCACUACGCCUGGCUAAUUUUUUGCAUUUUUUGUAGAGAUGGGGUUUCACCAUGUUGCUCAGGCUAGUCUCAAACUCUUGAGCUCAAGGGAUCUGCCUGUCUUGGCCCGAAGUCCUGGGAUUACAGAUGUCAGCCACUAAGCUUUGCCACAUUUUGCUACUCUUGCUCUGCAUUUUUAAGGCACUUCCCUCCAUUGUUAAUUCAUUUCCCUGUAUUCGAUCUUUGAAUGUUAAUUGUUAGAAGCUAUUGUUACUAAGAUAAAGAAGACAUGGACCUUCUCUUAAGAAGCUCUUAGUCUAUUGUGAUGAUUCUCCAAAUUUAGUGAGCAUGAAAAUCAUCUGAAGAGUGAUAUAAAACAGAUCUGCACUUUAUAAAAUAACCCCGGGUCAUUCUGAUACAGGUGGUUCCCAGGCUCCAUUUCUAAACCCACUGGUCUGGAGGGAGAGAAAGCAUUUCCUUUGAUCAUUGGAAUUCUAACCAUCCUUCAGGGCCAGUCCCAGUGGAACUUUCCAUGUUGACUUAGUCAUCACCCAUUUUCUUUCCUUCUCUAGCACUUAAUCUGUGUCUUUCUCAGAACACUGAACACCCCUUCCCCAGUUUCUAUCUUGUACUGUAGGUCCUUUCUAGAAUGCCCUGUCUAAGCUACUGGUCUUCUGGAUAGGUAAUCUAGACUGUGUCUGAUCCGACUUUGCAUUCUCUGCAGCAUGUGGCACAGUGCCCACAUAUACUUAUUAUAUAAGUCAUGCUUGUUGAAUGAAGGGAUCUGUCUCUAAAUGGAGAGUUGUAUUUUUAAAGUGGACCUGUGAUAUAUAAUAAUGUAUUGUGAUCCUAAAUGUCUCAAAAUGGAGUCACUUAUGACAAGUAACUCAACCCACAGUAAAAUUGCCAACCCCUCAAAGUGAUACGCAUACGUAUGGUGGAUCGUGAUGAUAAGAUAAUACCUGCUGUGGCCAGGCACUACCCCACCAAGACCCAGCAAGAAAGGGAAGCCAAAAGGUGGCUGAGCUAAUGACCAUGAACUCUCCUGGGGAGGGCCAUAAAACUGCAAAGAAACUAACCAUGGCAAAGAAGCUUGAAGAAGCUCUGUCUGUGAGAACUCUGAAGCCUCCUUUAGUCUGGCAGUGGAAGCUCUGCUGGGUCCUCCCAGUAGAGGAUUCACGUGGUUUCUUCCUCCUCUUUCUUAUUAUGACCUAUGUGUGUUACAUGUAUUUGCAUAGUUAUUGGUGUAUGAAAGCCUUGCAAUAAACCUUUGAAAGCAUUUAAUUAGCCAUUAUUGAGUCAUUGUGAAACCUCCCACAGUGUUAAAGUAAGCACAGCUAGGCUGACUGGAACCUGAC
rnacentral:lncRNA from 10 species